rnacentral:lncRNA from 1 species
UUUUUUUCCUUCCUUUCCUUUUAUUUUUUCUUAUUCUUUCCUUUCUUUAUCAUUUUUCCUUCAUUCUCUUCUCUUAUAACAAACCCUAGUCCUUGCUUGCUCUAAUGUCAUCAUCACGGGCCAAAUCCACAACCAAUUGAAAGCUCUCAUUAUCUCUUUUUCAUUUGCAUGUUAGGAUUCUCUUGAAAUCAUCUCUCUAUCAC